AACGAACGCUGGCGGCAGGCCUAACACAUGCAAGUCGAGCGAGGACUUCGGUCCUAGCGGCGGUCGGGUGUGUCACGCGUGGGAACGUGCCCUUUGCCUCGGAAUAGUCCUGGGACACUGGGAGUAAUACCGGAUGAGCUCCUUGGGGGAAAGAUUGAUCGUCGAAGGAUCGGCCCGCGUUGGUUUAGGUAGGUGGUGGGGUAAUGGCCUACCACGGCGAGGCUACAUAGCUGGGUUGAGAGGCAGAGCAGCCACACUGGGACUGGGACACGGCCCAGACUCCUGCGGAAGGCAGCAGUGGGGAAUCUUGGACAAUGGGGUAAACGCUGAACGAGCCAGGCCGGGUGAGCGAUGAAGGCCUGAGAGUAGUAAAGCACUUUCAGCUGGGAAGAUAAUGACGGUACCAGCAGAAGAAGCCCCGGCUAACUCCGUG
rnacentral:rRNA from 1 species